rnacentral:misc_RNA from 1 species
GAUGAAGAACGCAGCGAAAUGCGAUAAGUAAUGUGAAUUGCAGAAUUCAGUGAAUCAUCGAAUCUUUGAACGCACCUUGCACUCCUUGGUAUUCCGAGGAGUACGCCUGUUCGAGUGUUAUGAAGCUCUCAAAACGCAAUUGGCUUAAAACCUGAUUGUUAUUUUGGAUUUGAACUUUGCCGUGUUAUAACGGCUGGUUUUAAAAGUAUUAGCUGGUACUAGAACGAAUUGGUUCUACUCAACGUGAUAAUUAUCUGAUCGUUGAGGACAUUCCUUUCACGAGGAAUGGCCAUAGUAAAUUCAAUGGACUGCUUCUAAUCUGGCUUUAAUUCUUUAUUGGAUUAACCACUUUUCAAAUCUGACCUCGAAUCAGGUGGGACUACCCGCUGAACUUAAGCAUAUCAAUAAGCGGAGGA